rnacentral:sRNA from 1 species
UUGAGAGACACUAGAAAGUAUAAAACGC